CACGAUGCAGAUAAUCUAUAGUAUGAUUGAUAUAAGUGAUAAAUAUAUUGUAU
rnacentral:guide_RNA from 1 species